rnacentral:rRNA from 1 species
GCAAGUCGAACGGUAAGGUCUCUUCGGAGAUACACGAGUGGCGCACGGGUGAGUAACGCGUAUGCAACCUACCUUUUACAGGGAGAUAGCCCGAAGAAAUUCGGAUUAAUACCCCAUAGUACAUGACCACCGCAUGGUGGAUAUGUUAAAGCUCCGGCGGUAAAAGAUGGGCAUGCGUGACAUUAGAUUGUUGGUGAGGUAACGGCUCACCAAGUCUACGAUGUCUAGGGGGUCUGAGAGGAUGGUC